rnacentral:rRNA from 1 species
UACGAGUGGUGCAAGCAUUGCCCGGAAUCACUGGGUGUAAAGGGUUCGUAGGCGGACAAGCAAGUCAGAUAUGAAAGACCGAAGCUCAACUUCGUGUUUGUAUUUGAAACUACUUGUCUAGAAUGAGGAAGAGGUAAGCGGAAUUCUAAGUGUAGGGGUGCAAUCCGUAGAUACUUAGAGGAACACCAAAAGCGAAGGCAGCUUACUGGGACUAUAUUGACGCUGAAGAACGAAAGCGUGGGGAGCGAAAAGG